GAUGAACGCUAGCGGCAGGCUUAAUACAUGCAAGUCGAGGGGCAGCAUGAGUAGCAAUACUUGAUGGCGACCGGCAAACGGGUGCGGAACACGUACACAACCUUCCUUCAAGCGAGGAAUAGCCCAGAGAAAUUUGGAUUAAUACCUCAUAGCAUAUUAGAGUGGCAUCACUUCUAUAUUAAAGAUUUAUCACUUGAAGAUGGGUGUGCGGCUGAUUAGAUAGUUGGCGGGGUAACGGCCCACCAAGUCUACGAUCAGUAGCUGAUGUGAGAGCAUGAUCAGCCACACGGGCACUGAGACACGGGCCCGACUCCUACGGGAGGCAGCAGUAAGGAAUAUUGGUCAAUGGACGAAAGUCUGAACCAGCCAUGCCGCGUGAAGGAUGAAGGUCCUCUGGAUUGUAAACUUCUUUUAUAUGGGACGAAAAAAGGUCAUUCUUGAUCACUUGACGGUACCAUUUGAAUAAGCACCGGCUAACUCCGUGCCAGCCGCCGCAGUAA
rnacentral:rRNA from 1 species